UCGCUUUUCUUCUUGGUUUUGCUCUAAGAGUUAACUUCUUGUGGUGUUGGUUUUAUUUCUCUAAAGGUAAUAUCUGCAAAGGGGUUUAGUUGCCCUUCUCUCCUCCCAGUAAAGGAGCUCACAGAUUUGGUGAUAUCUGGCAGUUCUCCUAAAACCCAUCCUGCAAAGAAUCUCUGCUGUCUGAUGUGUGCCAGUGGCCGGGUUCCUCCCCGUGGCCGUUUCUGGAUGGACACAGCAUGAACCCAGGGAGGCCCCAGUUGUGUGGGAUCCUGCAGGGUUUCCAGGCCAGGGAUUCAGUUCAGCUCUGUCAGUAUCCGUGGGAAACGAGACAUCACACCGAAACGUGGGGUGAGAUGCAGGACGCUGAGAGAUGCUCACGACAAUUUUGUGUCUCCUGUACAAAACCCAGAAACUCGGUAACGGAGAGAGAUAAAUGUAGUGGUUGAUUACGGUGGAUGUAUUGCAGUUAUAAACAGCAUCUCUGACCAUUCGGCUCUGAGUUUCUGGAGCAAUAACUGCUGUAUGGAAGGAGUGUUUAUUAAUAAAGACUUGAAAGUUGUACGAUGUGGUGAGAGCGUCUCUGGUGACAAACAGGCAGCACAGGGAGGAAUUGCACGGCCCCGGUAUCGCAACGCGGAUCCCAGCACCGGGCUCCUCUUCUCAACGCGCCGUGACACCCCUUCCUCCAGGACACCUCUCCUCCGCGCAGCUCCUGCUGCUGCAGGUACACAAAACUGCACCAGAAAUGGCUGUCUUAAAAAUGAACGAUGAUUCAUCGAUUUCGGACUGUAGAAACAGAUGUCUGUAAUUUAACUAAUACCCAUUACAAGAUGCCGUGCAGACUCUGGGCUCUCAGGAGAAGGGCCUGACCCCUCCUUCCCUUGGGUGCAGCCCAGAGAGUGAAGGCACCGCUUCUCUGCAGGUGCCUGAGGUGUCUCCGCUGAGGACGUGGCUGUCCCUCUUCUGCCUCCGUCCUUCGGCCUCAGCGAGGUCAGGGCCUGGCCAGUGAGGGAGAGGAGGCCCCCAGCCCGGGCUUGUUCCCUGCCAGGGAUGGCUGUUUGUGUGGGGAACCUCAGACUGGGGAUAACUGCCAUGGCUGCUGGCUCGCUCAAGGCUGGGCUUGUGGUGGUCCUUUAGUGCUGGCCAAGCUUUGAACCUGGUGACUCUUACAGGAACAUCUCAGGGUGCCAUUAGAGUCCUGCUCCCUGUCACUUGGUUCUGCUCAGCCACUGCCCAUCGCUCAGGCUAAAGGUAACGACAGGAGACAAGGAGGAGCUGUACCUGAGCCAUCACAAAACCAUUGGCUGCACCGCUAUCUGCGAUGAACGCUGCCCAGGUGACAAUGGUGUCUCGUGAAGGCCAGUCUCUCUGCAGAGGGUCUGGCACUGUCCCCCAAACCGGGUCCUGUGGGUGGCACAAAACGAGGCACAGGGGUCUGGCAUCACCCCUCCAGCCCCGCUGUCCCCGGGGCUCAUCCCACUGCCCGUUCAUUGUCCAUUUUAGCUCUUCUCCACCUCUGCAGUCUCUUUGAUUCUUUUCUUCAUCAUCCUUUCUUCUCUGCCCUCACAACCAACCUCCUCAGCACAAACACUCCCUAAAUUUUUAGCUAUGAGAAGUAUUAAAACCAGAGUUUCUGCAAUAUCUGGGCAACAUAAGCCCCUGAUAAUCCUGUUCCUACGUUCUUUGACUCCUGCCUCUGUUGGAGGCGUCACUUGUCCCGGUUGCAGCUGAGCUGAGGACAAGUGGGGGAAACAGACUGCAUAUUUUAGUAUUUGUAAAUCAUUAGACUGGGGAGGUUUUGUAAUAAUCUUAUCGUUUGUAAUAAUCUUAUCUCCUUUUUUUGUAUUUUCUUGUAUUUUCCUAGCAAUCAACAGUAUCACUGGCAUUUUGUAAAACCCUAAUAGCCUUCCAGGGUGUAAAGCUUGGGCACAAGGCGACAGUGGGGCCAUACCAGGACUGCAGUGGUGUCCCCAUGGGUCACUAUAAGCUUCUCUGUGAACGCUGACCAUCCGCACGGGGCUUUUAUCAGCCCUGCAAAAAAAUAACCUUUUAUCUGGUGGUUCAGUUCUCUUAUCAUCCAGAGCUUGUUUACUGAGUUUUAGGUCUUGGGCAAGACGGAGCAAGCUCAUGAGGAGUAGCUGGUUUUGGGGAGAUACCAGCUCCAGAUAACCGGGGACAAGUAAAGCACACACCAAUAUUGAAAUCACUCGGUUUUAUUGCAGCUGACUGAGACAGAGUGUGCUCUGAGGCUGGGAAAUUUCCAUUACUGGAGUGCAGGACAGUGCCUGGAUACUGCUGCUACUGCAGCUGAGAAAUAAAAGCAAGCUAAUUUUAUACAGACAGCAACAAAAUGUCAGUAUAUUAAUUAAAAUUGUUAGCAUUCUAUAAUAAGCUUUUAAGGUUGCUGCAAAAUGGACCCCUUUUAAAAUAUUUAGAGUAUAAAUGUAAACUAGUUGUAUGAAACUAAGGAACAUAAAAAUGGCUUGAAAUUGCAAUUGUGUUUUCAAACUGUAUGUGUGACCAGCAAAUCUAACGAGAGCAUGACAGAUAAUACGGGAUAAUAACAACAAUACAGUGACAGACUCUGAGGGAACAGUGCCUAGUGCAAGAUCAAGGUCAUUACUGGCAGUUUAGUUCUGUGAUUAAUGAUCUUUUGUGCUCCCCUUGGCAUGCACAAAACAAACACAGAAUCUGUUUGCUGGGCUUAACUCCGUGGUGUAUACACCACCGAGGGCUCCCUGCAAAGUCGGUCUGAACCUGACUGGGGAAAAAAGGAAACACUGGGGUGGGGGGGAAGUAAAUUUGUUUUGGUGUCAGUUGCCCAACAAUUUGGGCGAGAGACUGUUUUUAACUUCCUAAAGGCACAAGACUAUGCAGGAAUCCUCACUUUCGCUGGGGUCACCUUACGCUGUCAGAGCAGUGGCCGACAUUGAACUGGCAGUGAGUGUCUGGGACCACAGCAGUGUGUCACCAGCAAAACUCAGCCCAGGCAGCUAUUGGUGUCUCAGGCUCUUCAUGAAUCCUGGGAGAGCUCCCCGUGGAUCAGAGCUCAGAUCUAAGCAAUUUCGGUUUGUGUCACAUUCAUCACCAUGGUUCCUGAGUGCCUUAGAAGUUAAAAUAUAUCUUUAUAAAACA